AACGAACGCUGGCGGCGUGCCUAACACAUGCAAGUCGUGCGAGAAAGUUCCUUCGGGAGCGAGUAAAGCGGCGCACGGGUGAGUAACACGUAGGUAACCUGCCCCCCAGUCUGGAACAACUAGAGGAAACUCUAGCUAAUGCCGGAUGAGACCACGAUCCCUUCGGGGGUUGCGGCCAAAGAUGGCCUCUACUUCUAAGCUAUCGCUGAGGGAUGGGCCUGCGGGCCAUUAGCUUGUUGGUGAGGUAACGGCUCACCAAGGCUGUGAUGGCUAGCUGGUCUGAGAGGAUGACCAGCCACACUGGGACUGAGACACGGCCCAGGACUCCUACGGGAGCAGCAGUGGGGAAUAUUGCGCAAUGGGCGAAAGCCUGACGCAGCGACGCCGCGUGGGUGAUGAAGGCC
rnacentral:rRNA from 1 species